rnacentral:rRNA from 1 species
CCUACGGGUGGCAGCAGUAAGGAAUAUUGGUCAAUGGACGCAAGUCUGAACCAGCCAUGCCGCGUGAAGGAUGAAGGCCUCUGGGUUGUAAACUUCUUUUACAGGGGACGCGGUACCCUGGGAAUAAGCACCGGCUAACUCCGUGCCAGCAGCCGCGGUAAUACGGAGGGUGCAAGCGUUAUCCGGAUUUACUGGGUUUAAAGGGUGCGUAGGUGGGUUUGUAAGUCAGCGGUGAAAUCUCCAGGCUUAACCUGGAAAUUGCCAUUGAUACUAUAGAUCUUGAAUUAUCUGGAGGUAAGCGGAAUAUGUCAUGUAGCGGUGAAAUGCUUAGAUAUGACAUAGAACACCAAUUGCGAAGGCAGCUUACUAGGUAUAUUGACACUGAGGCACGAAAGCGUGGGGAUCAAACAGGAUUAGAUACCCUUGUAGUC